rnacentral:rRNA from 1 species
CACGCCGUAAACGAUGGGUGCUAGGUGUGGGGGGUGUCGACUCCCUCCGUGCCGAAGCUAACGCAUUAAGCACCCCGCCUGGGGAGUACGGCCGCAAGGCUAAAACUCAAAGGAAUUGACGGGGGCCCGCACAAGCAGCGGAGCAUGUGGUUUAAUUCGACGCAACGCGAAGAACCUUACCUGGGCUUGACAUGCACGGGAAUGUCGUAGAAAUACGGCAGCCUUUCGGGGCUCGUGUACAGGUGUUGCAUGGCUGUAGUCAGCUCGUGUCGUGAGAUGUUGGGUUAAGUCGCGCAACGAGCUAAACCCCUAAUUAUGUUUCCAGCUUU